UGAGGAAUAUUGGUCAAUGGGCGAGAGCCUGAACCAGCCAAGUAGCGUGCAGGAUGACGGCCCUAUGGGUUGUAAACUGCUUUUAUACGGGGAUAAAGUGAGCCACGUGUGACUUAUUGCAGGUACCGUAUGAAUAAGGACCGGCUAAUUCCGUGCCAGCAGCCGCGGUAAUACGGAAGGUCCGGGCGUUAUCCGGAUUUAUUGGGUUUAAAGGGAGCGUAGGCCGUCUGUUAAGCGUGUUGUGAAAUGUCGGGGCUCAACCUGGGCAUUGCAGCGCGAACUGGCAGACUUGAGUGCACGGGAAGUAGGCGGAAUUCGUCGUGUAGCGGUGAAAUGCUUAGAUAUGACGAAGAACUCCGAUUGCGAAGGCAGCCUGCUGUAGUGCAACUGACGCUGAAGCUCGAAAGCGUGGGUAUCGAACAGG
rnacentral:rRNA from 1 species